rnacentral:ncRNA from 2 species
UGACCCCGUGCGGGAGAGUCCUCCGGAGAACCGCCGGAGGCGCCGAAGGAGCAAAUCCUCCCCGGAAUCUCUCAGGCCCCCGUACCGCGCGGACGAG